rnacentral:misc_RNA from 1 species
GAUGAAGAACGCAGCAAAAUGCGAUACUUGGUGUGAAUUGCAGAAUCCCGUGAACCAUCGAGUCUUUGAACGCAAGUUGCGCCCGAAGCCAUUAGGCCGAGGGCACGCCUGCCUGGGCGUCACACGUCGUUGCCCCCCCCAUCUACUCCUUCGGGAUUGCGGGGGGCGGAUGAUGGCCUCCCGUGCGCCUCGCCGCGCGGUUGGCAUAAAUGCCAAGUCCUCGGCGACGCACGCCACGACAAUCGGUGGUUGCGAAACCUCGGUUGCCCGUCGUGUGCGGUCGUCGCGCAUCGAGGGCUCGAAAAAAUUGCCGAGUUCCGGCUCGGCUUUCAACGCGACCCCAGGUCAGGCGGGGUUACCCGCUGAAUUUAAGCAUAUCAAUAAGCGGAGGA